rnacentral:rRNA from 1 species
UCCCAGACUCCUACGGGAGGCAGCAGUGGGGAAUAUUGCACAAUGGGGGAAACCCUGAUGCAGCGACGCCGCGUGAGUGAAGAAGUAAUUCGUUAUGUAAAGCUCUAUCAGCAGGGAAGAAAAUGACGGUACCUGAGUAAGAAGCCCCGGCUAACUACGUGCCAGCAGCCGCGGUAAUACGUAGGGGGCAAGCGUUAUCCGGAUUUACUGGGUGUAAAGGGAGCGUAGACGGCAGUGCAAGUCUGGAGUGAAAGGCGGGGGCUCAACCCCCGGACUGCUCUGGAAACUGUACGGCUGGAGUGCAGGAGAGGUAAGUGGAAUUCCUAGUGUAGCGGUGAAAUGCAUAGAUAUCACGCAGAACCCCGAUUGCGAAGGCAGCGUACCGGCGCCCAACUGACGCUGAAGCACGAAAGCGUGGGUAUCGAACAGGAUUAGAUACCCCAGUA